GCCAGGCUGGCUCAGAUGGUAGAGCAUGUGACUCUUGAUCUCAGAGUUGUGAGUUCAAGUCCCACACUGGGUA
rnacentral:tRNA from 1 species